rnacentral:rRNA from 2 species
GGGUGCGAUCAUACCAGCACUAAUGCACCGGAUCCCAUCAGAACUCCGCAGUUAAGCGUGCUUGCGCGAGAGUAGUACUAGGAUGGGUGACCUCCUGGGAAGUCCUCGUGUUGCACCCU